UGGGCAUAGUGAGGAAUUAAUUAUCUGAGAGUUUUCCUUGAUGAGGAAAGUAUCCUCCUACUCAUUCUGA